rnacentral:rRNA from 1 species
CGUCCCCUACGGGACGCAGCAGUGGGGAAUAUUGGGCAAUGGGCGCAAGCCUGACCCAGCAAUGCCGCGUGAAGGAAGAAGGCUUUCGGGUUGUAAACUUCUUUGACAGGGGAAGAGCAGAAGACGGUACCCUGAAAACAAGCCACGGCUAACUACGUGCCAGCAGCCGCGGUAAUACGUAGGUGGCAAGCGUUGUCCGGAUUUACUGGGUGUAAAGGGCGUGUAGCCGGGAAGGCAAGUCAGAUGUGAAAUCUGGAGGCUCAACCUCCAAAUUGCAUUUGAAACUGUUUUUCUUGAGUACUGGG